GAGGCCCUACGGGGGGCAGCAGUGGGGAAUAUUACACAAUGGGGGAAACCCUGAUGCAGCGACGCCGCGUGAGUGAAGAAGUAAUUCGUUAUGUAAAGCUCUAUCAGCAGGGAAGAAAAUGACGGUACCUAAGUAAGAAGCCCCGGCUAACUACGUGCCAGCAGCCGCGGUAAUACGUAGGGGGCAAGCGUUAUCCGGAUUUACUGGGUGUAAAGGGAGCGUAGACGGCAGUGCAAGUUUGGA
rnacentral:rRNA from 1 species